UACGGAGGGUGCAAGCGUUGUCCGGAAUCACUGGGCGUAAAGGGCGCGUAGGCGGCUCAUGAAGGCUGUGGUGAAAGUCCGGGGCUCAACCUCGGAUCGGCCGUGGCGACUCGUGGGCUGGAGCACUGUAGAGGCAGGGGGAAUUCCGGGUGUAGCGGUGGAAUGCGUAGAGAUCCGGAAGAACACCAGUGGCGAAGGCGGCCUGCUGGGCAGUGGCUGACGCUGAGGCGCGACAGCGUGGGGAGCAAACAGG
rnacentral:rRNA from 1 species